rnacentral:ncRNA from 1 species
UUUUUGGCUUUGGAUAAAUUUUUGUUUUUUCUAAGAUUUACAUGAGAGUUUAUGCUUUCUAACUUUGGUUUUUAUUCUUAAUGAAGAUUUAGUGAAAGUAGCUUCAGUAAAAAAUUUUAAAUUAUUAAUUAUUAUUAGAUUUAUUUAUAGAAAAUAGGCGGAGCAAAUUGUGUGCCAGCUGCUGCGGUUAUACACAUUCUUCUUAUAAAAAUUUUUGGGUAAAAAAAAGUUUGUGGGAAAGUUAGAAUUAUUUUUUUGUUUAUUGGUAAAAUGAAAAUUUUUUUUUUUUCUGUUCUGAUUUUUUUUUAUUGCUUUAAAAUUUUAGGUUGAAACUGGGAUUAGAUACCCCAUUAUUUUAAAAUUGAAUUUUUUUUCCUAGGUAUUAAGUAUUUUGAAACCUAAAAAGCUUGGCGGUUCUUUAUAUUCGUUUAGGGGAGCUUGUUCUGUUAUUGAUAAUCCUCGAUUUAAUUAACUUUUUCUAUAUAUUUGUAUACUUCUGUCGUAAGCUAACCUUUUAUAGGUUUUAAGUUGGCUUUAAAAUUUUUUUGUUUGUACGUCAAGUCAAAGUGCAGUUUAUGAAAAAGAAGAAAUGAGCUACGAUUAAUAGUUUUUGGAUUAAGUUUUUGAAUUCUUAUGAAAAUGGACUUAAUAGUAUUUAAGAUUAGAGAGUUUUGGAGAAAAGGAUUUGAAGAGUGCACAAAUCGCCCGUCGCUCUUUCUGAUAAGAAAGAUAAGUCGUAACAUAGUAGUAGUAAUGGAAGUUGUUGCUAGUUU